UACAGAGGUCUCAAGCGUUGUUCGGAUUCAUUGGGCGUAAAGGGUGUGUAGGUGGCGCGCUAAGUCGGGUGUGAAAUUUCGGAGCUUAACUCCGAAACUGCAUUCGAUACUGGCGUGCUUGAGGACUGGAGAGGAGACUGGAAUUUACGGUGUAGCAGUGAAAUGCGUAGAUAUCGUAAGGAAGACCAGUGGCGAAGGCGGAUCUCUGGACAGUUCCUGACGCUGAGGCGCGAAGGCAUGGGGAG
rnacentral:rRNA from 1 species